UAAUCAUCUUAAUAAUACAGUUAAGGAAUUGGAAGAGACUGUGAACUCUCAAAUUACCUGUAUUGACAGGGUAAAGAAAGGCAUGCAAGGAUAGUGUACAUGUAUUAGUUAGAUCUUUUUAUAGUCGGUUUCAGUUGAGAAGAAACGGAAGUAAAUUAAUAUUUUCGUCAUUAAAACGUCACGUGUAGCCCCGCCCAAACAUGGCUGCAAUCUGCAAGCUCUGUCAUUCUUCCAGCGUUUCUUCUCCUUUAACUUACUUUACUAUCUAUUGUACCUCUACAGUGGUUGCUGCUACCUCCAUCUAUCCUUUUCUUGUUUUUGGUGCCUGUUUUUAGCUGGUAUAGAGCUCGGAAUACGGCUGAAUCAAUGAGUGUACUGAAAUUGAACAACAACUAAGAUUGAGAAGGCUGUGGAGUGAUAUAGCAAGAAUUAUUCUAGAGAAAAAGCUCCUGGUUGAAUAUUUGUAGUUCUAGAGAGCUUGAUAUGUUUUGUUUUAUUUUUUAAAUAAAAAACAUUAAUUUUUGAGUAAAUGUAAUGAGAUGCAAAUGAUAUUCAUCGGAGUGACGCACACAAUUCGUCAUAGCAGCUCCUUUCAUCUCAAGCGGAAGAACCCGUUUAGAACCUUCCAGAGUACCUAGAAACUCAAAAAUUGGUAAGGAUUUUCGGAAGAACCAGUUAUGCAGCUAUUCAUGUCUUUCUUGUGAAUAAAAUAAUGAGAUUCAUUACAUACCGUAUUGGUAGCUAAUGAGGAAAAAAAUUUCGAAAAAUUUCAAUCCUCCAUUUUGGAGGUAUAAGCAGUGCACAGUGCCUAUCUACUGUCGUGCUGUAGGCUGUAAAAACCUAGCAGGAAAGUCCGAAAAGAGUUUCUUUAGGUUUCCCAAGGAAAAGAAACAAAGGAAAGCCUGGAUAGUAGCUUUAAAACGGGGAGUCAAAUGGAAACCAACAAUUUACACAAGAAUUUGUAGUGCUCAUUUUGUUGAUGGGAAGUAUUCUAGAAACCCACAAGCUGACAACUAUAUACCAACACUUCUUGAAUUCAACAAGGUAUCUCCAUCCAUUGCAACAUCAA